rnacentral:rRNA from 1 species
GACGAACGCUGGCGGCGUGCCUAAUACAUGCAAGUCGAACGCUUCUUUCCUCCCGAGUGCUUGCACUCAACUGGAAAGAGGAGUGGCGGACGGGUGAGUAACACGUGGGUAACCUACCCAUCAGAGGGGGAUAACACUUGGAAACAGGUGCUAAUACCGCAUAACAGUUUAUGCCGCAUGGCAUAAGAGUGAAAGGCGCUUUCGGGUGUCGCUGAUGGAUGGACCCGCGGUGCAUUAGCCAGUUGGUGAGGUAACGGCUCACCAAGGCCACGAUGCAUAGCCGACCUGAGAGGGUGAUCGGCCACACUGGGACUGAGACACGGCCCAGACUCCUACGGGAGGCAGCAGUAGGGAAUCUUCGGCAAUGGACGAAAGUCUGACCGAGCAACGCCGCGUGAGUGAAGAAGGUUUUCGGAUCGUAAAACUCUGUUGUUAGAGAAGAACAAGGACGUUAGUAACUGAACGUCCCCUGACGGUAUCUAACCAGAAAGCCACGGCUAACUACGUGCCAGCAGCCGCGGUAAUACGUAGGUGGCAAGCGUUGUCCGGAUUUAUUGGGCGUAAAGCGAGCGCAGGCGGUUUCUUAAGUCUGAUGUGAAAGCCCCCGGCUCAACCGGGGAGGGUCAUUGGAAACUGGGAGACUUGAGUGCAGAAGAGGAGAGUGGAAUUCCAUGUGUAGCGGUGAAAUGCGUAGAUAUAUGGAGGAACACCAGUGGCGAAGGCGGCUCUCUG